rnacentral:piRNA from 1 species
CGAAUUAGGUGUUAUGUUGUUUCUUUCC